rnacentral:rRNA from 1 species
CUGUUGCCAGCACGUUAUGGUGGGGACUCAGUGGAGACCGCCGGGGUCAACUCGGAGGAAGGUGGGGAUGACGUCAAGUCAUCAUGCCCCUUAUGUCCAGGGCUUCACGCAUGCUACAAUGGCUGGUACAGAGAGUGGCGAGCCUGUGAGGGUGAGCGAAUCUCGGAAAGCCGGUCUCAGUUCGGAUUGGGGUCUGCAACUCGACCUCAUGAAGUCGGAGUCGCUAGUAAUCGCAGAUCAGCAACGCUGCGGUGAAUACGUUCCCGGGGCUUGUACACACCGCCCGUCAAGUCAUGAAAGUUGGUAACACCCGAAGCCGGUGGCCUAACCGUUGUGGGGGAGCCGUCGAAGGUGGGACUGGUGAUUAGGACUAAGUCGUAACAAGGU